rfam:Schistosoma mattheei strain Denwood, Zambia genome assembly, scaffold: SMTD_scaffold0000261
UGACGAGUCCCAAAUAGGAUGAAACGCGCGUC